UUGUAGAAAUCAAGUCACGGGGGAAACCGAUUGAGUCUACUACACGCCACCCUGGCCAUCGAUAUCUCCACCGUACGUAAAAACUCAAGAAGAAUAACCUACACGCGUUUUUCUUUCAUUUUCUUACCGUACGGAAUUAAUCGAUCGCCGACUCCAAGCUAAUUCAGGACUAUAUAUAUAUAGAUGGAUGCUGGUGGCGGGAUGGAAGCUCAUCAGAUUAUAGGUGAUGGUAACGUGGAAGGUGAAAACGACAAUAUAGAAGUUUAUAACAUGGAGGGUGAAAAUAAUUAUGAUAUGGGUGCUGAAGGCGACAAUGAUGUCGGUAUGCAGGAAAGCGAUGCAGAAUCUAAUGUCACGGAGGAAAGUAAUCCACCAGCUGAUGUCGACUUUCAUGGUCUAGCUGACUUAUGGAAUGAAAUGACCGCUGGAUUAGAGGCGUCAAUGGAUAUGGGUCAACCAUCAUCUAAUGAACAUGUGAUCAAAGACGUAGAAGAAUGUGAUCAUACUUUUAUCUUUAAAGACGAUAUUGGCUAUUUCUGUCGUGUUUGUGGAAUAAUUAAAAGGAGUAUCGAAUCUAUAAUCGAGUUCAAGAUUCCCAAGGUUUCUUCAAAUGCACGAGUUAUUUAGUAUGAAGUUGAAAAGAAUCCCAAAGUGAUUUUUUUCUUGUUUCUAUAGUUACAAGGAUCGCCGAUUGAUCUAAGUGGCCAACAUCUAUAAAAGAUCAUCACGAUGAGGAAAUGAUGGGAGGAAAUGAUGGACGUGUGUAGUUUUCUCAUUUUGCAGCUGAAUGUCGUUAAUGAUCAGUAUAACUUAUUGAAGCAUGUUACACAUUGAAUGAAACAAAGUAUGCACUUACUUAUCAAUAGACUUUCUGAUGCUGGUAGUUGAAAAAUUGUUGACUGACAUCAUAUCUUAAUGGAAUGAACCAUUACUAGUUC